rnacentral:misc_RNA from 1 species
CAGAACGCUCCCCAAGCCCAGCUUAUCAAUACUCCCCCCGUAGAUCCCGUGCAUCAUCCCUGAGAGGACGUUCCGCGGGCCGGGGACGUCACCGAGCGUCAUGCGCAGCCAGUCGCCUAUUGAGACGUCGUGCUUUACUGUGUCGGGCGGGAAGUCGUGCAUAAGGU